rnacentral:tRNA from 1 species
UGGGGAAUGGAUGUAGCUCAGUGGUUGAGUGCCUGCUUCACAUGUAUGAGGUCCUGGGUUCAAUCCCCAGUUUCUUAA